GAAUGUGGGCACGUCCUACUGUCACUGUGCUACAGCUCUCAGCAGGGUGGCUUGCUGGUAGGUGUGCUGCGCUGCGCCCACCUGGCCCCCAUGGAUGCCAAUGGUUACUCGGACCCCUUCGUGCGCCUGUGAGUGAACUGGGGUAGGCAGGCGGGAGGUGAGGAUAAGGCGGUGACUCCUCACCUCUCCAGGGCCACACCUAACCCGCCAAUCUUCCCCGAUCAGUUUCCUGCAUCCAAAUGCAGGGAAGAAAUCUAAAUUCAAAACCAGUGUUCACAGGAAGACCCUGAACCCCGAGUUCAAUGAGGUGAGCCAGGGCCAGGCAGGUCCCAGCCAACCCUGGCCUUGACAUGCUGAGCCACUACCCUACCGUGGCCUGCUUCUUAAGCUGUGGGAGAGCCGAGGCUGCCUCCUUCCCGCCUCUCUGCCCUUCUCCCUGCAGGAAUUCUUUUACUCAGGCCCACGGGAGGAGCUGGCCCAGAAGACGCUGCUGGUGUCUGUGUGGGACUAUGACCUAGGCACGGCUGAUGACUUCAUUGGCGGGGUGCAGCUGGGCAGCCAUGCCAGUGGGGAGCGCCUGCGGCACUGGCUUGAGUGCCUGGGCCACAGUGACCACCGCCUGAAGCUGUGGCACCCGCUGGACAGCAAGCCUGUCCAGCUCAGCGACUAGCCCAUGGGCCCUGCCUGCCGCCCCUCCACUACAGCUGCCUGAAACGUCCCCACAAAAAUGAUGGCGGCUGGGGCUGCCUUACCCUCAUGCCCAGCCCCAAGUCAGAGAGGUGUUUCCUCUCUCCCCGCUUUCACAUUCACCCCACCCCAAAUCAUGGAGCCGAAAUAAACAUCUCCUUCAAGCC
ensembl:lncRNA novel transcript